rnacentral:lncRNA from 1 species
GUAGAGUAGAUAACUUCAUUUAUAUAAAUAGCAGCAUGCUAACUUUAACUGUGUAAAUCACUCAUGCAAUUAAAAAAGUACAUUCCUAGUUUAUUCUCAAUUUUCACAGCCUUAGAAUUAUCUUAACACUUCAGUAAAUAAUCAUUAAGCUUUCAGCAUAUUCUUCUCCUUACUCAUUAUUAACUAUAAUAAUGGUACCUUUCAUUCUACAUGAAAUAUCUC